rnacentral:rRNA from 1 species
GAUCAGGCUCAGGAUUAACGCUAGCGACAGGCUUAACACAUGCAAGUCGAGGGGCAGCAUAAUUUGUAGCAAUACAGAUUGAUGGCGACCGGCGCACGGGUGAGUAACGCGUAUGCAACUUACCUAUCAGAGGGGGAUAGCCCGGCGAAAGUCGGAUUAAUACCCCAUAAAACAGGGGUCCCNCAUGGGAAUAUUUGUUAAAGAUUCAUCGCUGAUAGAUAGGCAUGCGUUCCAUUAGG